rnacentral:rRNA from 1 species
GAUGAACGCUGGCGGCGUGCCUAAUACAUGCAAGUCGAGCGAACAGACGAGGAUCUUGCUCCUCUGACGUUAGCGGCGGACGGGUGAGUAACAGGUGGAUAACCUACCUAUAAGACUGGGAUAACUUCGGGAAACCGGAGCUAAUACCGGAUAAUAUAUUGAACCGCAUGGUUCAAUAGUGAAAGACGGUUUUGCUGUCACUUAUAGAUGGAUCCGCGCCGCAUUAGCUAGUUGGUAAGGUAACGGCUUACCAAGGCAACGAUGCGUAGCGGACCUGAGAGGGUGGUCGGCCACACUGGAACUGAGACACGGUCCAGACUCCUACGGGAGGCAGCAGUAGGGAAUCUUCCGCAAUGGGCGAAAGCUUGACGGAGCAACGCCGCGUGAGUGAUGAAGGUCUUCGGAUCGUAAAACUCUGUUAUUAGGGAAGAACAAAUGUGUAAGUAACUAUGCACGUCUUGACGGUACCUAAUCAGAAAGCCACGGCUAACUACGUG